GUCAGGAGGGGGCCUUUCAGAGGAGGCAAGAGACCCUCAAGUCCUCCAUCAGACACCCCCAGAAUACAUUCCAUUUCUUAGUCUAUUCUUCUCUGCCCACGAGCCUCCAGCUCACGUGGUCACUUGCCUCUCUCAUGGUUAGAUAAAGCGGAUACCAAGCCUGACACUUCAGGAGCAGCUGUAAGAGGCAGGUGUGAUUCGUAUGCAACCUGGGGAGGAACUUCCAGCGCCGAGCACCUCAAUUUCCUCACGUCUCCCUGGUUGUCCUGGGGUAACAUGAAGAAGGGGCUGUGGGGCCAGGCGGACCGCCCCCCCCGGAGGCCUCGAGUUCAGAUGGCUUUGAAUCCCUGCGACUAGACCUUCCAAAGGAUCCUGAGGCUUAAAUCCAGGUGGUUUCUUCAUUUGUGUACUCAUCCACCCAUCCACCCAUCCAUCCAUUCAUUCAGCAGGAGCCAAGAGGCGGAAGCGGCCCAGGUGCCCAUCACAGAUGAAAACAGCACAAUAUGGUCUGUUCUUCCAACAGAGCUUGACUCAGCCUUCAAGAAAAAUGAAAUACUGACACAGGUGACAAUGUGGAUGAACGUGGAAAACCCAAAGUGAAAGAAGCCAGACACAGAAGGACAAAUACUGUGUGCUUCCACUUAAAUGUGCUCAUCCAUAGA